UACAGAGGGGGCAAGCGUUGUUCGGAAUUACUGGGCGUAAAGGGCGCGUAGGCGGCCUUCUAAGUCGAACGUGAAAUCCCCGGGCUCAACCCGGGAACUGCGUCCGAUACUGGAAGGCUUGAAUCCGGGAGAGGGAUGCGGAAUUCCAGGUGUAGCGGUGAAAUGCGCAGAUAUCGGGAGGAACACCGGUGGCGAAGGCGGUUCUCUGGGCCUGACCUGACGCUGAGGAGCGAAAGCGUGGGGAGCGAACAGG
rnacentral:rRNA from 1 species